UAUACAGUCGGAGAAAUAUAGAUUUCGUUUUUUUUUAGAGAUUUCAUCAUUUCUCUAAUUCUCUCAAUUGCCAUUUGAAAUAGCAUGCGAAAUGAGAGAAUUCAGAAAAGCGAUGAAAACGAUGAUGUCUCUUAAAAUCCCGAAAUCUAUCUUUCUCCGACUGUAGCUUGAAAAAAAAAUGUCCGUCUACAGAAAUAUUCUAA